rnacentral:rRNA from 1 species
ACGAAGGGUGCAAGCGUUAUUCGGAAUCACUGGGCGUAAAGGGUGUGUAGACGGUAUAUUAAGUUCGUCGUUAAAGGCUCCGGCCUAACCGGAGUAUUGCGAUGAAAACUGGUAAGCUAGAGGGUGAGAGAGAGAAGUGGAAUUCCCGGAGUAGCGGUAAAAUGCGUGGAUCUCGGGAGGAACACCAAUGGCGAAGGCAGCUUCUUGGCUCAUUCCUGACGUUGAGGCACGAAAGCGUGGGGAGCAAACAGG